CACGUAGGGUGCGAGCGUUGUCCGGAAUUAUUGGGCGUAAAGAGCUCGUAGGCGGUGUGUCGCGUCGGCCGUGAAAACCUGCAGCUUAACUGUGGGCUUGCGGUCGAUACGGGCAUCACUGGAGUUCGGCAGGGGAGACUGGAAUUCCUGGUGUAGCGGUGAAAUGCGCAGAUAUCGGGAGGAACACCAGGUAGCGAAGGCGGCACUCUGGGCCGGUACUGACGCUGAGGUGCGAAAGCGUGGGGAGCAAACAGG
rnacentral:rRNA from 1 species